GGGGCAACCAGGGUUUGAACCCACGACCUUCUUGCUGCACCACCGCACCGCCAGCAGGAGCUUCAGUGUGGUACAUGCCUUAUUUUCACACUGACAUGGACAAGAUCAGGUUGGACAUGGACCUGGGACUCCACUGGGACAAGGUGCACCCAACAGUCAGCAGCUGAAAACACAGACUCUCACAAGCAAGUCCGGCUUUGACAGGACUCAGACCUCAACAAAUGUUGCCCCACGUAGCACUGCAGCCAUGUGCUGAAGCUGUGUCAACUGUGAUGGAUUUGGCUCGCCUCUGCGGAUGAUGACGUGAUAUAUUAGCCUACAUAAGAAGAAAGAACAACAAUAGGACCAAUGAUUCUGGAGACAAAUGAACAAAAUAACUGUCUAUUUCAAGUCUGACCAUUGUGUUAUCACAGGUGAGAUGAUACGAGACAAUGGGCUGUGAUCUAAUGAUAGUGUAAGUGUAAAAAUUACAAGUUGACGGAUGUUAUGUGCAGGACUAUUUCUUGACCAGGCACAGAAACUUCCUGGAGACUUGAUGUUACCGUGAGGCUGCUAGGAAUGCCAGAGUGUUAGUUAUUGAAAUUAAGAAUUAGUUGGAAUAAUUCUUUUAAGCAAUAGAAGUACCUUGGCUGACAAAUAAAAAAAGCACUACCUGCAGAAACCCAAAUCCUUUAGUAAUGCAACAUUUGUAACACUGUUCUCCGAGAAGUGAAGUGCAGAUUAGAAACACCAACGCAGGGAGAUAUCACUAAAGUCAGAAAGCAAGGAACUUAAAGGUUGCACUUUUAAUUUACAGAGAGAAACGUGACAGAAAGUAACUAAAGAACUUCAAGUGGUAGAUAAAACUUUGAGUUACUGAGGUAAACCACCUGCAGCAAAUGUUGCAAUAGCACAAAUACUCCCUAAUGACAACACCUACAGUAUUAGCCCAGUUCUUCUUUUGAAAUUGGGAGGGAAUUUUACUUUUACUUUCUAAAAAACACCUGUCCCGUAAAUGACCUACAUAAGUCAUGCCAGUGGUACUUUCUGUAAGAGUAAAGGUUUAUACUGACUUAGUGGGAGGGUGUAUUUUGAUAAAUGAGAAGCUGUGUAUAAUAACACUCAACUACAUCCUACUCAGUCAAAGGAGGAUUGCGUAGCACCGUGACCCAGCCAGGCGGAGAGGGCUGACACUUUGUGUGUGUUCAGUGAUCAGUUUAAUGGGGUAGAAACGGUGGCUAUGCCUGGAAUUCCUCUCAAUAUAGCCAUGACCUCCUCGGACGGGAGGAAUUACAAGAUUGUUGGAGAAGACGGACCUUUUUUGACACACUGGGCAGAUCCUGCGGUCAGACCUGCAGAUCAGCAACAUCACAAGCCCACAAAGUAAAAUACUCUGUGACUUUUAGAUGCUGCCCUCAACAAAUUUUCUGCACAUGCAGGCUUACAAAGUUUACAAAGACUCCCUGACUGACUCUAGUCCGACUGCCCCACAAAACAAAUACUGUAGAUUAGGGGGGAAGGAAAACACUUGCAUUUAGUUCUUUGCAUCAGGAUGUCCAUAAUUUAGUCCUCUUUGCCAGGAAUGGUUAAAUACUUGACCCGAGAGCACAACAGUACUUCAUAAACAAAUAUACUGCAUGAUUGCAUUGAAUUUCCAGCAUGCAUUGUCACAGUAGGAAUCAGGAAUACGCCUGGUAUUAAUCUACCACUUUAGCUAAAUGGGACCACAUGCAGACAAAAGUCAGAUAUGAUAUAUGAAAAAGUGUGCGCUCCCUUCGCACAGCUGACUUUUAAUUUACAGCCUACCAUCAGCUCUAAAAAGAUAAUGUGAAAGCCUUGUCAUGAAUCAGGCUGCACCAUGCACAGCUGUGUGGCCCGGGACAAACAUUCCUGCACGCAGUAAGUCACUUACAGAGAUGGUGGUAGAACACACACAAUGGAAAAGACAGCAUUAUUCAUCAUUCUAUUCACACUCAAGGGAAAUAUUUUAUGUUUUCACUGACUUUGGAGGUGACGUUGCCCCAAAGGGAAAAUAGACAGGGCGACUAAUGGGGCCAAUUUUUUCUCUAAUUAAUGGCGCACUGAGCCAAAGCGAAGGUCUGCUCACUGUCCACUCAGCACCAGGCUUCCCAAGUUAAUCGCUAUGUUUUAAUUAAAUGGACAAUGUGCUUCCUUGGAACCCAGAGCUAAUCUGAUCAACUGAAUGAAUAAUGAUGACAGGUAAUUCUAAUUAGAGCUGUACACUAAAUCUUGAUAUAUAUGUGUGUGUGUGCAUGUUCCAUGUUUUUAUAUCCCAGUGGGGCUUAAACCUGAAUGCUCACUAACCGAUGGGGACUUAGAGGGGAAAUAUUGAGGUCCCCAUAGGUAGAGACUGCUUUUUGAGGGUAGAGGGUCCUUAAGACAUGGUUUUAGGUUUCAGGGUAAGAUUAGGGAUAGGGUGAGGGUUAAGGUUAGGCACGUAGUUAUGAUUGUUAAGGUUAGGGUAAGGGGCUUUCCCCCUUUGUUGUGUCUGGUGACAGAGUUUAUGUCACUGCACCCAUUUACAAUGAGCCCCUCUUUUUUGUCACUUGGAUUAUGGGAAGCCUUUGUUGUGUUGUUUGUGUGUUUGUAUGUUUUCUCCACAAAGGGUGAUGAUGCUGCUUAGCAGUGGUGGAAAGAAAUGGUAAGAGACAGGAUACAAACCACAGUCUAUGGUGCAAAAAUUCAGACACUUUGUAUCCCUGAUAUACACCUACAUACACCUUCUUACAAGGUACUACAGCGUUAUAAAAGCAUUAUGACAUGACAUGCCACAGUUUUCGCUGCUUCUUUGCUUCAUGUUUUUGCACUAACUCAAGAGUUCACCUCUCUGGAAAAUGGUUACACUAUCAUUUUAAGCAUUUGAACAAACUGGUGAUGUCUUUUUGCAGUUGAGGACAGUCUACAGACAAGUGUACACAGAGCAGGACAGGAGUAUAAGACAGGACACACUGAAUUCCCAUCAACAGAAACCUGGAGUCGUUACUAGCUAUUGUAGUUUAAUCCUAUUCAGAAUGAAGAGGCUGUAUCACAGCCUUCAAUAAUGAAAAACUACUGGUGGUAAACGUCAGUUCGGGUUAACGUUUUUGUAUCCCUAAACAUAAAGGCAUCAGUUGAAACUGCCUCUCUAAUCACCACAGGGUGGCUGAUCAAAAUAGGGAUUUACAACCGACAUUAAAAUCAACAAAGGUUUCCUGGUUACCACAAGAACUUAGCCUUACAACCACUUUCUUGUUUUUAAAGUAACAUCAGCUUUGUUUAUGAGGAAUUGUAAGUAUGGCUGGAACACGUCCUUGGCCAAUCAAACUGUUUGGAUGAAAAUACCUGUUGUUUUACAGUUUCCUUUACCUCGCCUUGCUAAAAGAAUAUACAUGCAGAAAAUAUAAGACAGACCGGGUGUGUUCCCUUGGUCACUGACCCAAAUAAAAAGCCAUCGUUCACAAUUCUUUUAUGAGGACGAUUAGGCAGUGCAGACAUACAGGUUAACCUUGAGACCUGACAGAGGCACUGAGGGCCCAAUUAAGAUAUUUGAGAUGCAAUAUAAACAAAUACUGAACAAAUUGGACUUCAGGCAACAAAUAAAUUCUGGAGUUUUUAACAAGGUGGGCUUUAUUCUACAGAACAGGCUGUUUGGAAAUGGUUGGGAAGUGGUGAUUUUAAAACUGUAAAGGUACCAGUAAGCAGGAGCAGAUGGGGACAGCGGGCAAGCUUCUUGUGGUAAAGCCCUCAAUUGCUCUGUGUAAAUGUCCAACACGUGCUUUUGUUAUUCGGCUGUCUUUACUGUUCCCUGUAAAUUUGGAAUUGUGAAGGUCGUCAUCACGGUAAAAUGCAGAAUGCAAGUACCAAGGAGAUGGUGUCAUGAACAAACAAUGAUUUGAGCAAGCAGGGAUGAAUUAAAAGUAUUCAAUCUCAUUACUUUAAUCAAAACCAUCUGAUGACAAACAAGUCAGUCAACUGCAGAGAGGGCUGAAGAGUGAACUAUCUGUUGUUGAAAGCCGACAGUGGAGGUCUGUAACACAAUGUAAUUGUCUUUUUAACUCUCUACCUUUGAAGUGAGAAAGGCAAGAAAAAAUAUGAAAACUCCCCGGAGCACUUUUACACUGUAAGGCACCAAUUAGUCAAAUCAAGAGGUACACAACUUGUUACAGUCUAUUCAGGCAUUGGCCAAUGGAAAUAUUCAGUAGGCAAAUUACAGUACAAGUUUAGUCUCAAUUAAUUAGCAUUAAUCAAUUAAUUAUUGUAGAAUGCACUAAUGAUGUUAUACAUUUAUUCAGUAACGUGAUCGGUGCUGUAACAAUGCUAGUAUGUGAUGUAUGAUGUGGACACUGCCCAUUAAAUGUCUGUGCAUGUCCCUGGUUUCGGUUUGUUAAAUACUGAAUUUGCCUCUAAGGUUUAUUUAUAUCGUAUUGAAAAUUGGUUGCUAUAGUAAUCUGUUCUUUGUUGUUGGUAAAGAUGUCCUGUGGGAGUAAAAAUACAGUUCAUUUGGUAAAUAAGGACUUUUCUAUGUCAUUUUCCUUAUCUACAAAAUGAAUGUAAAAUAUACUGUAUGCCUAUCUGCAACAAUUAUACUGUUGCCAUAAUUUCUUUAUUUCUUGUCUUGUACUGUUAGGGCUCCCUGUCUCUUCAGUGGAAAAAUCCAGAGGAGAUUUAGAGAAUUAAUGCUCUGGGGCAAUUCAGCAGCAGUUGUACCCACUUUUCUUGUAGCAUUAGCUAAAAUUCAUCAAAAUUUGAGCCUGAUAACCAGAUACCUCAAAUGCCCCUCCUCUCUAAUCACCAGGCUGUGGAUGGCUCCUUAUUUUAUUAGCAACACACAAUAUUUGCUUUACAAGAAUGAGGCAGAUAGCAGAGAAAUGGAGAAAAUAAGGGAUUUUCCAGUUCUGUCAAACUGAGAUAGCAUUCUCACAUGAGCACUGACUGAAGUUAAUAACAUAAAUUCACCGAAAGGGCUGUUUUUGAGAGUUUGGCACCUCUUAUGAGAAACAGCCAGCUCUGUGUGUGUGUGUGUGUGUGUGUGUGUGUGUGUGUGUGUGUGUGUGUGUGUGUGUGUGUUUCUGAAUGAAUAGGCACAUCUGUGUGGUCUGUGUCCUUGUGCAACCUGACGUUAACCUCCCACCGUGAGAUAGAGCAUUGGCAGAAAAGGGGUUGAUAAGGAACAAAGGGGUUAAUAGGAUCUGGGACAGGCUCUUUCAGGUCUAUAGGAACAUAGUCAUGAAAACAGACACAAAGUAUGUCACAUUAAGUGCCUUAUUUAGCCAAUUUAAAUUUAGCUUUUUAUCUUUGGCCUCUCUGUGUAAUGGAUUAUUGUGUGACAGAAACUUCAUCCCUUGUCUGGGUGCCGUGACUGAUCUGAGACUCCUGUUAAGAACCUACUGCAGAUAUCAAAUAAUGUGUAAUUCUUUGUUUUCUCUUUCUUUUUACAAAUCAAUCUAUAUCACUUUGGAAACAUGUUGAGCUUGAAAUAUUUCCCAUAACAUCAUUGUCACAUAAUCAUCUGACUUCCAUUAUUCUAUUUAUUUCCCCUGGCAGGCGAGUCUGCUGGCUGGGAGUGAUGUGUAGCCCAUGGAGCAAGCUGUAAAAGCAGAGGACAACAGCUUGGCAGAGUAAAAAGCAUGUCUCAUACUGCAGUGAUUAAAAAUAUAGAGCUACAGUAUACAGUGUAUCAAUACUGAUCAAUCUGUUGUCCACUGUUAUCAUUCUUCUGUGUCUUUUCUUUUCUUUCACUGUUAAUAGAACAAUCCAAGGAAAACCAUUGACAUUUGCUGAUUUUGACAUCAGACUGACUCCAUAAUGUUCAAAUAAUAACACUAAUCUG